rnacentral:rRNA from 1 species
GAUGAACGCUGGCGGCGUGCCUAAUACAUGCAAGUCGAGCGAACGGACGAGAAGCUUGCUUCUCUGAUGUUAGCGGCGGACGGGUGAGUAACACGUGGAUAACCUACCUAUAAGACUGGGAUAACUUCGGGAAACCGGAGCUAAUACCGGAUAAUAUUUUGAACCGCAUGGUUCAAAAGUGAAAGACGGUCUUGCUGUCACUUAUAGAUGGAUCCGCGCUGCAUUAGCUAGUUGGUAAGGUAACGGCUUACCAAGCAACGAUGCAUAGCCGACCUGAGAGGGUGAUCGGCCACACUGGAACUGAGACACGGUCCAGACUCCUACGGGAGGCAGCAGUAGGGAAUCUUCCGCAAUGGGCGAAAGCCUGACGGAGCAACGCCGCGUGAGUGAUGAAGGUCUUCGGAUCGUAAAACUCUGUUAUUAGGGAAGAACAUAUGUGUAAGUAACUGUGCACAUCUUGACGGUACCUAAUCAGAAAGCCACGGCUAACUACGUG